AGUGGCGCACGGGUGAGUAACGCGUGGAUAAUCUGCCCGAGGAUUUGGGAUAACAUCUCGAAAGGGGUGCUAAUACCGAAUAAGCCCACGGGGUCUACGGAUCUUGCGGGAAAAGGGGGGGACCUUCGGGCCUCCUGUCUUCGGAUGAGUCCGCGUACCAUUAGCUAGUUGGUGGGGUAAUGGCCUACCAAGGCGACGAUGGUUAGCUGGUCUGAGAGGAUGAUCAGCCACACUGGAACUGAGACACGGUCCAGACUCCUACGGGAGGCAGCAGUGGGGAAUUUUGCGCAAUGGGGGAAACCCUGACGCAGCAACGCCGCGUGGGUGAUGAAGGCCUUCGGGUCGUAAAGCCCUGUCGGGAGGGAAGAAAUGAUUGUGAGCUAAUACCUCAUGGUCUUGACGGUACCUCCGAAGGAAGCACCGGCUAACUCCGUGCCAGCAGCCGCGGUAAUACGGAGGGUGCAAGCGUUGUUCGGAAUUAUUGGGCGUAAAGCGCGUGUAGGCGGUCUUUUAAGUCUGAUGUGAAAGCCCCGGGCUCAACCUGGGAAGUGCAUUGGAAACUGGAAGACUUGAGUACGGGAGAGGAGAGUGGAAUUCCUAGUGUAGGAGUGAAAUCCGU
rnacentral:rRNA from 1 species